CGGUGGAAAAGAAACUAACAAGGAUUCCCCUAGUAGCGGCGAGCGAAGCGGGAAAAGCCCAAUAUGAAAAGCCUGCUUGCAGGCGUUGUAUUUGAGCAUUCUUGGGAUGUCAGUAUGGGUAAGUUGCAUGAAAAUGCAUACCGUGGAGGGUGAAAGUCCCGUCCAGCCUGCACAAGACAUUUCGUACUAGAAUGUUUCAGUCGAGUCGGGUAGCUUGGGAAUGCUGCUCUAAUUGGUGGUAAAUUUCAUCAAAGGCUAAAUAUUGACCAGAGACCGAUAGUGAACAAGUACCGUGAGGGAAAGAUGACAAGCACUUUGAAAAGAGAGUGAAAAGAACCUGAAACCGUCAUGGGGAAAGCGUAUUGCGUUGGUGAGAGUGUUGCCGUGUGUUCAGCCGACUUUUUGUUGGUGCAUUGACACGGAGAGCCUUGUCUGUCGUGGGUUUGGAGUGGGCAAGUUGUGUGUCCACUCUGGGCUGAGGGAUCCCUUUUAUAGGUGAGGACGAUGGAAGGACGACGCGAUUCGACCCGUCUUGAAACACGGACCAAGGAGUCUAGCGCGGCUGCGAGUCGUAGGGUGCAAGCCUGAGGGCGUAGUGAAAGCGAAUUGUUGAAAACGAUCUGUUUGAGGCGGCAUGAGAUCGUUGAUUUCAAGUCUGACCUAGAGCAGUCGCGCUGGGACCCGAAAGAUGGUGAACUAUACCGGAGUAGGGCAAAGCCAGAGGAAACUCUGGUGGAGGCUCGUAGCGGUGCUGACGUGCAAAUCGCUCGUCAAACUUGGGUAUAGGGGCGAAAGACUCAUCGAACCAUCUAGUAGCUGGUUCCCUCCGAAGUUUCUCUCAGGAUAGCGGGCCGACGGUGUGUUGUUUUGUGCGGUAAAGCGAAUGAUUAGCGCAUUCGGGGACAACUGGUCUUCGGGCGAUUCUCAAACUUUCAAUGCGCAAGGGUAUCGCUGCUUGAUUGAGCGGUACCGGCAAAAACGUCGGCCCCGUGGGCCACUUUUGGUAAGCAGAACUGGCGAUACGGGAUGAACCGUAAGUGUGGUUAAGGUGCCAAAUUGUCCGCUUAAAGAACCCACAAAAGGUGUUGAUUCAUCGAGACAGCAGGACGGUGGCCAUGGAAGUCGGAAUCCGCUAAGGAGUGUGUAACAACUCACCUGCCGAAUGAAUUAGCCCUGAAAAUGGAUGGCGCUGAAGCGGGCAACCGACACCACACCGUCUGAUAAAGAAUGACGAUCAGAUGAGUAGGAGGGCGUGGUGGUUGUUUGGAAGCAUGUGUGCGAACACAUGUGGAACGGCCACUAGUGCAGAUCUUGGUGGUAGUAGCAAGUAAUCAAGUGAGAUCCUUGAUGGGCGACGCGGGGAAGGGUUCCAUGCGAACAUUGAUUGGGCAUGGGUGAGUCGUUCCUAAGCCGAAUGGUAAUUGCAAAAUACCGGCGAAAGGGAAGCAGGUUGACAUUCCUGCACACGGAUGUGGAGGCGGUGACGCACAUUGAGGUGAAGACGUUGGCGGUGGCACUGGGCAGAGUUGUCUUUUCUGUUUAACCUGUUCAAGUGGGGUGUGGAAUCCAAUUGUUGGGAGAAACACGCAUUUGUGGUAAGAGCGUCGGGGUUUUUCCGGCGUCCAGAUCGCUACUGACGACCCUUGAAAAUUUACCUAAUGAACAAAAUCCACGCCGUGGCGUACCGAUUACCGCAUCAGGUCCCCAAGGUGAACAGCCUCUGCUCAAUAUGAAUAAUGCAGGUAAGGGAAGUCGGCAAAUUAGACCCGUAACUUUGGGAUAAGGGUUGGCUCUAGUGCUACGUGGGAGUGGUUGCCCACUGUUGAGGUCGGUGGUGAAAACUGAUUCGGAGCGAGAGAUGGGGUGAUUCCCGCUUUUGUACUGAUAAGUUGAACGAUCGGUUUCGCGCUGGGCGACGCCCACAGCAUGUAGCAAACUAGAACUGCAACGGGCAAAGGGAAUCCGACUGUUUAAUUAAAACAAAGCAUUGCGAGGGCCGUGAACGGUGAUGACGCAAU
rnacentral:rRNA from 1 species